rnacentral:rRNA from 1 species
AAAAAAUUUUUAUAGUUUUGAUAUUUUAUUUUAAAUAUAAUUUACAUAUAAAUUUUAGUGUUAGAUUUUAUUUAUUUUAAUAAUAAAUAAAAUUAUUAAGUAGUAAUUAACUUUAAAUUAUUUAAGAAAUUAAGAUUUAGUAAUUUG